GUGUUUGACUCAGCAGCGCAUAUACUAAAAUUGGAGUGAUACAGAGACUAGCAUAGCCCCAGAGCAAUAAGGACAUGCAAAAUUCUGCUCUUUUUUUUUUUUUU
rnacentral:snRNA from 1 species